AGGAGUUAGUGACAAGGAGGGCUCGCUCUUGGGGCUAGUGGUGGGGAGGCAGUGGCCAGUUCAGGGCUCAGAUGAGAGAGGUGGCAGAAUUAGAGGCAGCCACUAGGAUGGGGGUGCGAGGAGAAGCGGGGCUAAGUAUAAAGGAGACUAGAUUUUGGGACAGUGGACGUGUGGAAGGCAGCUUCCAAAGCGCCUUUAACAAUCCACAAAGAACCAGCAGCUUUCAAGACCAGGCUAUCCCUACUGUCUGCUGGCACUUGACGUCCAGGAGGGCACAAGUUUCACAGGCCUACAUGGGGGCAGUGUCCUAGCUUGAGUGGCAGAGCAGCAGUUGGUGGAGACGGGUGGACUGGGGGCCCUUGAAGGCCCCAGAAAUCAUAGAGGACAGGCAGUGGGGCAGGACUAGGUGCGUAGUGGAGGUCGCCUUUGAUCUUGACAAAACCAGCAGACCCCUUUUUUUCCAGAUAAGGGGUUGUGAACCCACCUGGGGAUGAGGCCUGGUCUUAUGGAAGGUGGACUUAGCUUCGCUGGGCGGACAGCUCUGGCCCAGGGUGGUAUGUAAUUUGGGUGUGGCCUGUCUGCACCCACUUCGGGGUGCGAGGGGAGGCCCGAGGAGGCUGCAGAGACAAGUUGUUUUUACUGUCAGGUCUGCCAGGCGGGGACCAUGGAGAUUGAAGGCGCAAGUCUUGGGGCCACAUUAAUCACAACUUUAUUUUUCAGAUAGCAGUGCCCUCUCUGGACUUUGCCUAGGUUCCGUGCUUCCUCUUCUGUGGUCUCACUCUUCCCUACUCUUGCCCCUCACUCUGAGGUUAAGGGGUCACUUAAAACCUUGCCCCUGGGUCGUCCGGUAAGCCUGAGGAGGAUGUAGAGUCGGUGCUGGAGUCAUGGGCACGGCAUUUUGGUAACGGUGGAGGACACCCUGACUGGGCGGGGAGGGAUGGUGUUGAUUCACAGAGGGCGGGACGUGAGUGAGUGUGGACCCUGGGGUGGGCUCACAGCCAUGUUUCCGGUCACCCAAAUGCUUCAUGGACGUGGUUUAUCACUAUAGUGUUCACCAUGGCAAGCAGAUGGCACCAGGAGAUAUGGAGCCCCUGCCAGUGUGAGUCGUAGCAGUGCAGGAGGGCUCACCCUGGAGGAGACAGCGGCCUCGGUUGACGCCUACACAGUGAAUUCCAGAGGCUUAGGAAGCGCGUCCCUGCCCUGGGUCCAGGCCUUUCUCAGGAAGCCCUGUGCUCAGGAGGCCAUCGUUGAAGUCAGCAUGUAGGGGGUGGGCAGGUGCUUCCAGCCGGAGGGGCCGUCGGCUGUGACUGUUCCAGAUGAAUGUCUUGUUCUGGGAGCAUCAUUCUUUGCGGAUGCAUGAAUGGCAGCAGGCUCCCUUUUUCAUGGGGGUAGAGGCGUUCGACUGCUGCAUCUUCUAAACAAGCCUCCAUCCAGCCUUUGUAGUUCUGUGCUGCGAACUUGGCCUCGAGAAGAUUGCGUAAGGUGUAGGACACUUUAACGUCUGCGCAGCGUGCUGCACUGUAGAUUGGGACCCCAGUGACCUCGCCCACCUUCCCUGCUUCUGCAGCCUGCCUGCCUCUGCAUUGGUCAGAGGGAUUCUUAACUGAAAACUUGUGGGUGUUGGGGAAAGCUGUUGGGUUGUAAAUGACUGGUGUGGAGGAAUCUUCCUUAGAUGGAGCUGGUUGUAAAAUGGGUAGGGUUUGUGGUUUAACAGUGGGAAGGCACAAGUUAGCCACAAAUUCUGCCGACUUGGUAGAUGCCGUAUUUAAUUUGGGCUUUGGGACGUCUUCUGGACUAAAAGGGAUCAGUGGGCCCGAAGUGGUCCCUGGGAAUGGUCUCUCCCAGGGUGUGGAUUUGAUACUGGGUGGUUGAGUGGCAACAGUGGUUCUGGCCCCUUUUGUUCAUUAGCUUUUAUGACUUAGGGCCUGGCUGUGUAUACCAGGCUGGCCUGGGUUCACAGCCCUGCUCAGAUGACAGUGUCCUGAAACAAUGGCCUUCCAAGGUGAAACCUGAGUUAUGGAUCAAGCUUGGGAAUAAUACUUUUGGCACCAGAUAUGGGACUUGUGGGAGAAAGCAGGGCUCAGCUUGGCAUUGGUGGGUUGAAGGAGUCGGGGUGCGGGUGAGGAUUGUGCCUGGAACCGUGGGUUGAUGGGAAUAACAGUUUGGGAACUAAAUAGUUCACAUGAAAAUCUAAAGGCUGAUGGUAAAUCCCUGCAGGUGGCACUACUUUGAGAUGCAGUUGCUUGGAAAAUAACAAAAUCCUACAAGGGGAAAAGCAAAAUUGUUUUGCUUCACUGUUGAAUGGGGAAGGGUGACAUUGAAAAGCUUUUCUUAGUUGCUCAAUAGAUGGUUGUCACUACCCUGACCCAGGCAGGCCACAGGGGUGGAGCCUGGUGGGGGGAAGCUGAUUGCCAAGAAGUGAAGCUGGGGAGGGGCUUGUAAACGCCUCCGUUGUGGGCUCUGAAACCAUAGUAUGGGGAGGUUGGCAGACUCUUCUGGGUCUCUAUUGAAAUUCUGUCAUACUGUGUGAUUAAGAAUUCCAAUGCUGCUAUCUAAGGGAAUUUCAUAUGGGAGUCAUGCCUUAUACAACACAUACAGGAAUUUAAUGUGUGAGCCAUGCCUUCAAAACACAUCUCGAAUUUCUGGAAUUGGCCAGAAGACAACAGGGUUUGCUUAUUUAACCUUUCAAAUCAGUCAUUGUGACAAGGGGACAGGGUCUUGCGCUUGCUAUGAGAUCAUUGUGAUGCUUGUAGAAACCUCAUGAGUGCUUUGCCACUGAAUACAUCCAUUGUGGGUUUGGCUUGAAUGGUGCUUAAAAACCAUCCCUGAGCAGAGGGGAAGCUGUUAAACUGUCAGUCAAAGCAGUUUGGGAAAUAAAAGAGACUGGGCCCUGGGUCAUCUUACUAGAUAACACUUUGUAAAAAUUGGUUCUGAAAACCCUGUUUAUUUGCAUAUUUGUGAAAACCCUGUAUAUGUGGUGGUUUUGUGAGUGUGCUUAAAAGUGGUGUGACCAGGGCAAGAUUGCUCAUUGGAACAGCUGUGUGGAAUGGGGAAAUGUGAAGAAAGCUGUAACUGCAGGUUGGUCGCACACGCUUCUCUGUACUAAAGUGUUCAGUGUACAAACCCACUAACCAUUUUCCUCCCCUUUACAGCAAAAUAAAGGUUUGAGAUUGAAGCUUCUUAGAAUUGUCAUGGCUGUUACAUUCUCGACCUCUGUCACUUUGCCUUCAUAUAGUUAGGCCUAGAUGCACUGCACCAUGGAAGCAGUUAGAGCAGGUCUGGUCUGAGCAGCCUGUCAACUCUCUGGGAGGGAAGGGCUGCUCACUGUGAGCUGACAAUGGCUGCAGACAUGACACUGAGUCAUGGGAUAAUGGCACUGCAGGUAAGGGAGUAUUCUGAACAUGAUCUAGAACAUUCCCAGGUUGUAUUCCAAAUAGUAUGGUUUUUUAGUUUGGGGAAAAUGUCUUAAUAUGGUAUGAGCUUUUCAUAUUUUCACUCUUAAAAGCUGGUGUGGGCUUGAGAUUUCAGUCUGUACAUGCAAUUCUGUCUGCCUGAGGAGCUGGGCUUGGGCUACUUUUGGUUUUUUUUUUUUUGGUACAUGACUAAGGUUUUUUACCAUGGGAAGGGUGUGGUCAGAAGCCCUGGGAAUCCAGGAAGUGGGCCACGCCUUGUAAACAGUCCUGGGUAAUGGUAGCUAAUCCAUUGUAGGAGCCAACCUGCCCUGAAUUUAGUUGAGUGGUGUGUCAUUAAAGCUGGAAAUGUUACUACUUAGACAGAUUGUGAGCUUAGAACUCUGCCAGCCUCUGCUAGGACUGGAGCCUGCUUGCUGAGAGCAGAAGGUAGCCUGUGGCUCUGUAUGGAACUGUUGUCUUGAACUGGAGUAGGUAGGAGACCAAGCAGAGGGUGGGAAGUGUCUUACUCUUCCCUGAGAGCCUCCAGGCUGGCUGUGUUCUCAGCUCCUGUGUAUUGUAUUGUUCUUUUUCUCGGUCAGUCUGUCAGUGACCUCUCUCUUGUGCUGAGAAGUCAGAAUGGGGUGUACCAGGAGUGCUGUCGAGGCUUCUGGGACUCCAAGGGUUAAGUGCUGCUACAGCACAUGAGGGGGUUUCCCUUCACCCACUUUUUUUUUUUUCUUUUUACUUAUUUUGGUAUUUUGAGAAAAGGUUUCACUAUAUAGCUCAGACUGGCCUAGAAUUCAAAGAUCUACUAAUGACUGCCUCCCAAAUGUGUCUGGGAUUAGAGGUGUGUGCCUGUGCGCCGUCUACCUGCCUCCGUGUCUGGUUUAUCCCAGCGUCAUUCUGGUUUCUUACCUAGUUUCUGUGCCUCCAUUUUCCUCUUAUCGGGCCUUUUGGGUUUUAUACUUACAAAGUUCUCCAUGUUGUGUCAGCGGUCUGGUAAGGAAUAUAUUCCCAGCUAUGUUAGAGGUGGCUCACUAACAAAUCAAAGGCUGAGCUCUCCUGUGUGGAGACUAUUAAUUAAGACUUGGCUUGAGUUUAUUUACUUGUUUUGAGACAUUCUUACUCUGUAGCCCAGGAUGGUACGAAGCUCAUAAUAAUCCUCUCUUAGCCUUGCGAGUGUUGGGAACACAGACGUGAGCCACGGGUCCUGCAAACACUGCUCUAUGCCCGGGGUGAUCGGAUGGCCGUCCUAUCAGCCACGGGUCCUGCAAACACUGCUCUAUGCCCGGGGUGAUCGGAUGGCCGUCCUAUCACCAUUCCUCAACCAGAAGCCUUGGAUUGGGUUCAUGCUCUGAACACCCAGCGGCAGCUGGGGUCCUGUAGCGCUCACGUUGAUCCUGUGACUGGAAUGCCGUGGGGCAGGGAGCAACAAACGGUCUUUAGAGAUGUUUAGAAACGUGUUCUGACAGCAACCAUAGACUCCUCCCAGCUUGGAAACACUGGCAAGUUCAGAUGUUGGCCUGCUACAAAAAGAGAAUGACGUUUCCAAUCCUGACAUGUGCCAUUGAGUUUAUCUUAGGAUGUCAAGCCACCAGAAGGACCUUUAAUGUGAGCUUAUGUCUGCAUUGCUGAGGGCCUGUGAAAGCAUUAACCGAGGUCAUGUCCAUGCCUUAGGUGCUAUUGCUGAAGCAAGUAAUAUAAGGGGUUUCUGACAGGCUAAUAUUUGUAUGUCCUUCCCAAAAUCUGGAUGCAAAUAGGAUUGUCAGGAAGAGAACAAAACCAAAAUAAGGUAUCAGGUGGGAUCCUGAGACCUUCUGGGACAGGAUGCCCUCCUCGCACCUGUGCUAGGCUGCUGAAGGCAACUGUCACCUGCCUCUGUCCUUCCCACACCUCAGUGGUUUCUUACUGAGUUCUCAAGCAUAAAAAAGGUUGGACUGUUAAGUUUUGCAGAAAAGCAAAUGGGGGGAAAAACACUCUUUUCCAUUAACGAGCGUGCUGGCAAUGUCUCAGACUUUUCUCUUCCUGGGCAUCAGCUAUACGUACGCUUGUACAACAGUGGGAUUGUGCCUUGGUUCUGUCUACAGCGGGUUCUCUGUGAUGCAAGGUGAGAACUGUGUCCUGACAUUCAAAGCAUCCUUUUAGUAGUUCCAAAUGCUCUACUGCAUUACUGUCUGAUUAAACAAUCCUAUUUACACACGAACGUGUGUGGAGGGAGAGGACGACUUCCUCCCGCAGCAGGCGCUGUCCGCUGCUGGGCAGGCGUGCCAGCCGCCUUCAGCUGUUGGUUUCCUUUUGGGAAAUCAGGGUUUAGUGACUGACUUGUCGCUCAAGCUCCUUCACCUCUGUUACUCCCUGGAGAUAUCAAAAUCAGUUUCUAGAAUAAAAUGACUGUCAAAUCUUCUUAACUUUAGGCUCACAUUGCUCAGCUGCUGUCCAGAGGGCUUUUUCUGAGUUACUGUUCUGUAAACGUUUCUGUGAAGCUGGUGUGUGCAUAGACCUCAGAGUAGUGUGGCUGGCCAGUGUACAUGGACAAUGUUAUGAGUCCAGCUUCCCUGUGUGUGUAUACAUACCAUUUGCUCACAGAGUGUCCUUAACAUGAUUUCAAUUGAUUGGUUGGUUGAUUGAUUGCCAUUGUAACAUUUUGUGGUCAGAUACACUCCGCAGAAACUUUAGCCAUUAUAAGUCCAGUUUAGUGGUAUAGCAGAUUAGAGUUGGACAACUGGCCUCCAGACUUUGCAAAAUCUGAAAUUACCCAUUAGGCAACUUAAAAUGUGGUUUUCCCAGUCCCUUUCUGUGAGUGUAUAUAGAAUAAUAUAACUUGUAUAUAGAAUAAUAGUGUUUCUCUUGUCUUAGUUAUUUUCGGUGUUAGGCGUGUGUAUGGAGGUCAGAGAUCCCAGGGCUCAACCUCAACCAUCAGGUUUGUGCCGCCGGCAACUUUAUCCACUGGAAUCCAGCGUUGAUCUUGUUGACUGAUGAUUUUUCAUCUUGGUUGUAUGAUUCUCUUUGCUUUCAUACAAGCUAAGUCAUUGGCAUUUUGUACCUUUUUCAGCAUGUGUGUGCUGGUAAGCAUGCUUGUAUUGCCUCUGCCUGUGGGCCUCUUGUUCUUGUGACUUCCCUGCUGUGGGAUGGAUGCAGCUAUCAUUCUGAGAACACAUCUUCAGCUGUUUAGGAUACAGCACGGGCAUCCUGAUGGUUGUAGGGUGACAGACAUUCCCUGUGGUCUCCCACUCCGUAUGCCUAUUGGCCAUGUCCUUGGAGUCCUUUUUAUGCUUAAAAGGCUAUGGAUUUGUUAACCACGGUUGACCUGCAGGAUUUGGCUGUCUUCUGGGUGUUAGCUCUGUGAUCAGCUGUGAUUUCACUGACGUUUUCUUCCACUCCAUAAAGGUGCCUGCUGAGCUGUUUUUCUUUGUAGUUGCAUGUAUUAUUUCUUGUGUGUGUGUGUGCAUGCUUCCACUCAUCGAGUCUGUGUCACAGCACUCCUGAAGGUCAGAGGACAGCUUGUGGGAGUCAAUCUUACUUUCCACCCCACACAUCUGAGAGACCAAAUAUCAUUGUCCAUCAGGUUUGGCAGCCAAUGCCUUUACCCACAAAGCCUUCGUCUCAGCCCAAGUUUUACGCUGUGGCAUUGUUAGUGUGCGUUUGCUUUUGUUGCCUGAACUGUUGGUGUCAUAUCUAAGAAAUCAUUGCCAGAUCCAACGUCAGAAAGUCUGUAUUAUUCCUUUGUUUUCUGUUAUUGUUUUGUUUUAAAAACACUCGGCAAGUGCUCUACCACUGAAUUACAUCCUCAGACCUUAAAAGUGCCUCGUCUUAAUCUACCUUUCUGUAACUAUUGGCCAAUCACGAGUUUUACGGUUCAACCCACUGUCUGUAUUUUCCAUCUUCAACCAUAAUGACCUUGCAGUGUUUGUGUUUAGGAGGGUUAGCUUGGACCAGGUCUAUCAAACGUAUCUCCUUAUUUUCUCAAUUAUUAAGAACAAGAUAAAUAUGAUGUACAAGGAUUUAAACCAUCUAAAUCUGACCAUAGCUGAUAAGUUGCUUGGAGCUGGUUCUUUUUUCUCCAGCUGUUCUUGUCUGGGCUUGCCCUGUGGACAGAGAUAUUCUCACGCAGGCGGUUUCCUCCCACUGCUAGGAAUGGUGGUGAGCUAUCGCUCUGCUUUCCCCAAUAUCAGUCUUUCAUAAUCAUGUGUCUAAAGCAUUGGACAUUUCACGCUCUAGUUUUUGUUUUUACAAAUAAAAGAACAAUCUUAACUAUCCCGUUUAGCAUCUGGUAGGAAGGUCUGCUGACAUCAUCAGUAUCCUGUCCUUGUUGGACCUUGAAUGCACAAACUGGACGAAUCUUAGUCUCUGGCUCAUAGUGUGACGUUUCCAUUGCUUCCUUAUUUUUAAACAUUUGUCAACAUGUCUGACUCUUCCAUCAAUAUGAAAACCAAGGCAGUAGCAAAAGUAGCUUGCUUCCUGCCCGUGACUUUCAUACUGCCCUCCGCCUGUCGGGGCCAAUAUCAUGCUAAAAAAUCCUUACCCAGUGGAUUUUUCAAAGUAGAUAUUUUGCUGUUUGUAACUCUGUAGAAGAAUUAAAUUGCUCGUGGUCUUCUGGAACAUUUGUUUUAAGUGGAUGGAAUUUAUCUGCUGCUGUGUACAGAGCUCCUUGACACAAGGUCACCUCUUCUAUAGCCUCUUUACAGGAGUAACUCAGACAGAAGCAGCCUGAGCACUCAUAAUCUAGAGGUAACUGUGAUCAACAACACAGGAUAAGAUGUGUCCUGCUGAGACAGGCCACAUCCCUUUCUUCUGAGAAUGUCUCAGGAUGACAGGACUGCACUUAGUGGGGGCUUUGAGCACACAGCUGCCCUUUCUUACCCUGGCUGUGUCGCCCGCACGUUAAAUUUCAGUUUUCCUGCCAGUGAUGAAGAUGUGUCCCCUCUGUGUCAGGGAUCAACAGCUGUACUGUGAGAUCAUGUUCUUGGCAAUCCCCUGUUCCCCAUCUCGGUGGGUAGCAGUUGUGGGUCAGACAACUGCGGUGUUCUGUUGCCCUCUGCAGUGACAGCAGGCCCUCGGGCGUGAGUGUAAGAGUCCUUGUUGGUAUGUCUUAGGCACUUUGCAUAUGGAACUUCACGUUUCUGUUGGGUGUUUUCUUGGCUCUGUCACAUGUUCACAGUGGCCCAUGGAGACUACUUGGUAUGUGAGAUUCUUGUCAUCUAUGUGUAUAAAUUUGAUAUCCAUGGCUUAGUUGAUUGGUACCUGAGGUCUAAGACACAAAAGAGUGUGACUUUGCAAAGGUCUAAGUUAUUCUGUCCUGAGACAACUGAACUUUUCCUCUGCCAUCCUUGCAUCAGAGUGGCUCUUCCAAGCAGGCCGAAACUGCAGAUUUAAGGUAAGCCUGGGCAGACGCUUCUGUAAGUACUGUGUAAUGGAUAGGGCUGUAUACUAUAAUUGUAGUGACUUUCAUAAGUGACUAGUCAUGAACUUGGGAGUAAAAUACUUAAAAACCACAGCGUGUUAUCUUGAUAUCCCUCUCCUGUGUCUGGUGCCAGAAUUUCUAUUCUAAGACAUCUCCCUUUCAUGAAGUCACCCAAUAUUACUAAUCUGUUUUUAAGUGGAAUCAUGCAAUAUGUACUGUUUUUAUAACUCCAUAAUAUUUUGUCUUAUCAUGUAGACCCAAUAAUUUUGACCCUUUUCCUACUGAUGCCUUCAGGCUAUUCCAGGGUUUUCUGGUCGUUGCAGGCAAUGGCCACUGAGCUUUUAAAUUCCUUGGGACACUGAUGAGGCCAGGCCUGAAGGAGGCCGAGGGUUCCCGACUGCAGCUUCAGAUUCUCACGAAUGCUCUGACUCUCCACUCUUGAGUUUGUUUUGUUCAGUGGUUAGCAUUUCUACAGCCAAAAUCAACUUCUGGUCUCCCCCAGCCAUGAGGUUCGUUAGCGCUGGCAGUGUCUGCACUUCAUGUCCCUACCAGAACUUACCAGGUGGUAUUGGAAUGAUAAUGGACUUUGAGCCUCAGGCAGCUUUCUGGUUCUUACCUUAAACAGUUUAAAAACAGAAGUCAAACCAGGCAUGAUAAUACGCAGCGGCCAUGCCGCCCUGAGUAGUGGAAGCAGGAGGAUCAGGGUUUGAGGCCAGCCUCUGCUCUGCAGCCUGGACUAUAAAAAAACCUUCAUGAGGACGGUUAUGACACUUGGGAAAGCUACAUUCAGACUUGCUUGUCCCUUCAGUACUCCUACACCACUCUCUAGAUUAAGGGUACUCUGUCCUCUAAGGCCACCAAGUGCCCAGGGAACAGGUGUGAGCUCCCUCUGUCUCGUCCUUGCCUCCCAGGGUCCCAGAGAGUCGGACACUGGAUGGUGGGGCCAGCUUCAGUCUGGCAGCCUCUUCCUCCACAGCAGGUUAUGUUGGGCUUCCUUUCACUCUGGUGACCAGUGUACUGUCCCCUCUGCUGACUGUGUAACCCCACAGCGCGUUCCCUCCAGAUUUUGCCCCUUAUACACACAGAAUGUUUAAAGUGAUACUUGUUCAUGUUAAAACUGCAAAUGUGUAGGUGACCUCUUGCUUUCCAGACAGCGCAUGGUGUGGUAGCAUGCAGGCUUGCCACACCUUGUCUUGCACUUGGGACUGUUGGGCCAACAGAGCUGUAGCCACAUUUAGACUACCCAGUCCUGCUCGGGGGAACAACUGAGCUGUUUCUAGCAACACUGAGUGUAUUUUACUAAGUCUUAAAUAUCUAUUUACAUGUGUUUUCAUGUGUCGAGACAAGUAUGCCCGAGGAGAAGCAUGGGGACGCACACAGGAUGCACCAGCUAAGCCUUCUGUAAGGUGCUUCCAGUUGGCCUUCCCCACACCUUCACCAGUACUUGUCCCUAACCUUGGGCAUGCAUCAAUGCGAGAGGUGAAGGGUAAUUCUCAAUUGUAGCUUUAAUUGGUGUGCUUAUUGAUUUAAAGUGUUCUUUACAUAUUAAGGAAAGUAACCAUUUGUGUUGCAAACACUUCUGGUCCUCUCUGACUUUUAUAGUUUAUGACACUUUGCUGUUGAGCAUUUUAAAUAUACAGAUGUACUUGUUUAUUGGUAUUUUUUUCUGCAUCUUAUGAUGAGCUCAGAAAGCUUGGUCUAAUUCAACACUAUCCUUUGAAUCUCGUGCUUUUUUUUUUUUUUUUUUUUUUNNNNNNNNNNNNNNNNNNNNNNNNNNNAAGCCUCUUGUUGCUACACAUAACUCAAGUCACAGCCACCAGGCAGCAGCUGGUGUGUUUCUAUGUCACAGCCACCAGGCAGCGGCUGGUGGGUUUCUAUGUCACAGCCACCAGGCAGCGGCUGGUGGGUUUCUAUGUCAGUUCCAGGCCAAGUGCUGCAGUUGGAGCUUUGCUAUAUGGUGAGGGCGGUCCUACCUCCUACCUCAACUCUUCUCUAGUUUCCUGGUUACUCGUGUGAGUAUUCAACUGUCCCAAGUCGUCUUGAUUUUCUUCCUGUACAACAAUAAGGUAUCUUAUUCCGUUUUCCACCAGUGGCUUAACCUAACCUGACUGAAAUGUUUCUUACACUUGUGCAUGUGUGCCGGCGCAGGGGAGGGGCAGAGGGCAGUGUUGUUGGAUUGGGUCUCCUUCUACCACUCGGCUCUGGGGAUUAUUGAGCUGAGGUUGGCAAGCUUGGCAGCCAGCACUUUGACCAGCUGAGCCAUAUCAGUCAGUGCCCUGAGAUGGUGUGUGACCGGGUCAGGUGUGGUAGUGCAAGUCUUUCAUCCCGGUACUCAGGAGGCAGAGGCAGGUAGAUCUCUGAGUUCAUGUAAAGAGACUCUGUCUCAAAAAAUAAACAAGCCAGGCGUGGUGGCACACGCCUUUAAUCCCAGCACUCGGGAGACAGAGGCAGGCGGAUUUCUGAGUUCGAGGACAGCCUGGUCUACAAAGUGAGUUUCAGGACAGCCAGGGCUACACAGAGAAAUCCUGUCUCAAACAAACAAACAAAACAAGAACAAAAAACAAAGAAAAAACCAAGUAUGUAAAGUCUGUGGUCAGUAGCGUUAGCCUGUGCAGUUAGAGGACCUUGACCGACAUCCAGACCACGGGACCCGAGUGGAUGUCUCACCCUGCCCCUGCAGGCCCUGUCCCUUCCAAAACAGGCACUUCUGUCACAGGAUACUUUUUUUUUUAACUUACAUUUGCUUGGGGGAGGGGAGCAGUUCUAGUUCCAUGAGGCACAAAUGGAGGUCAAAGAGCAACUUGCCGAUGUCUCUUCUCUCCUCCCACAGUGUGGGUAGUAGGAAUUGAAUCAGGUUAUCGAUCUUGGGGCUGAGCCAUCUCUGUGGCCCACAGAGCACUUAUAUGUGGUUACUUGUUGCUCUCACAUUGUCAGUGUACAGCUUGGUGGCCUUUGUCACUGGCGUGCUCUGUGACACUGUUGUGAUAAAAAUGUUGAUGAGUUUACACAAAUCUAGUAAAUUGAACCCAAGAGCCAAGUGUGGUGGUGUACCCUUAAUUCCAGCACUUUGGGGGCAAGUUCAGGUAGUUCUCUGAAUUUGAGAGCCUCCUGGCCCACAUAGUGAGUUCCAUGGCUGCAUAGUUGCAAAAGAACACCAACACCUUUCCCCCACAAAUAGAAUUGUACUGAAGGUCACAGUCAGAGAAAGCAUAGCAAGGAUGGCUGCUCUGAGCCCCUCCUGUGCACUUCUGUAGACCUAGCCCCGGUGUCUAAAUGGAGUCUGAUUUUAGCACCUGCACUUGACUGCUGUGCUCCACCCUGACCCGCCUUCUCCUGAUCCCAGAUUGCUAGAACUUUGACCAAAAUGGUACUUAAUUGUAGUUGUGAUUGGUAUGUUCAUUGAUUUAAAGUGCUCUUUACAUUUUAAGGAAACUAACCAUUUGUGUUGCAAACAGUUCUGGUCCUCUCUGACUUUUACAAUUUAUGACACUUUGCUAUUGAGCAUUUUAAAUAUACAAAUGUACUUGUUUAUUGGCAUUUUUCUUGCUUUUUGCAUUUUAUAACGAGCUCAGAAAACUUGGUCUAAUUCAAGACUGUUUGGUGAACUGCUUUGUUUGCCUGACUCCUUUGGCUCUAUCUGGAGUUGGUGUGAUGUCUGGGGUCAGGAAGUCUGAUGUGGCUACACAUUUACUGAGUGACACAGGACAAAAUGGACUGCAUGCUGGCUGAGCUUCUCAGGCCACAGUGGGAACCAUUAGAAAAAAACGUUAAAUCAUUGUUCUCAGAUGUGUUCCCCAUGAGGUCCAGCCAUUCCCACCCAGCAAAUGGCUCCCUCAGCCUGGUAGUUUCAUCUUUGAUUUUGAGAGAGAGAGAGAGAGAGAGAGAGAGGAAGAGGAAGAGAGGAAGAGAGGUAUCUAUUUGGUGUGGGGGCCAGGACUCACUAGCUGUAACAUCUAGAACAUGUUACAUGUCUGUCCAUGUCAGCCUUCUGCUUCAUCUGUGGACACUUCUGUCCGUCUGCUGUACAGAAUGGUUUUUAGGUUUGCAGUUUGUAUUUUAAGACCUCAGCAAGUCUUUGAAUCAGUCCUGGCAGGCUUUGCUGUCAGCGUGUCAUGCAUAUCACACGUUCUUUGGAUCCAUUUUGACGUUUAACCCUUUCAGCUUCCAGAAGUUGCUUUGGUGUAUUGCGUGAGGUAAUAUGGCUAUUUUUAAAUGACUGUUUUCCUUAGCAUCAUAAAUUAUUAGCUAAAUAAUUCCUUUGGCCUAGUUGUCUGGAGCUGCCUUUCCUUAGGCUAUCCCAGCGUCCUAUUAACUUCAUACUGUUUGAAUACAUCAUGAUACGGAUACCUGUCUCAUGUGUGUGCAGCUCACAGAUAAUUCGUGCUCCACAGACAACAGUGUGACUGUUGAAGGGCUCAGUGACCUGUGCUUACACGGCUUGUUCAGGUCACAGGCAGCUGACGACUGACUCAGCUCAUGUAUGUUCAGUGUUCUUCGGUCCUGGGGACAUGAGCAGGCACAGGACAGGGACCUUGGAGUUUUCUUUAUCAGCACUCCUGCCUCAGCAAAUGAAGGUCAGCCAACACCCCAUUGCUACCCAGAUCUCUUGGCAAACAGACAUUUUUAGUAGGACAGAGCCAAGGCUUCUUCAUGUAGGCUUUGUAUAUUCAUAAGAUUUGUUCCUUGAAGUGGCGUGUUUUGGCGCGUGGCUGGUUGUGGUUUUCUGUCAAAGUGUAUGAUGAUGGUAGCUCAUGAAAAGACAUGUCCACCCGUACUCUGUCUUAAAUGUAGACACUGGCUUCCCCACAAAGGCUGUUGGGGAGGCAAACAGCAUACUGGCCAGAAAGACACUGUGUAAGGACACCAGCUCUCACCCUGGACUGUCUCUUGUUUACUUCAUAACCCUCUUGCUCCCUUGACUUUCCUGUGUAUAAGAAGGGUUAAUCAUUAUCUACCUUGGACUUGAGUUAGGGCUAAAGAAAUAACACAUUGUGCUUGGCACUCCUGACCCAGGAUAGACCUGGCCUUGUAGGGUUUCUAGCCAGGAACGGUUGUCUCUGGUGGGUAUGUUCCAUGGAACCCAUCCAUCUCCCAUGCAUCUCUCCUGUUUUGUUAGCGUUAGCUACACUUAAUUCACUGAGAAACCAUGAACAUCAUAGCCGUGUUCCACACAGCCCACCCGUGGGAUCCAUCAGCAGGUGAAGCAGGAUUGCACUGGCCAGGCUGUGUGCCGACCCCACCCGACCUGACGCUGCUCUGAGAGGCUCUGGCUCUGUGCUCUGAGAGGCCCUUGCUGUUUGGUGCACAGGAUGGGCUGGAGUGUCCUGCUUAUAAGUUUGUUGUGUUGUUGUUGUUUUGCUUAUAGGGUUUUUAAAUUUAAAUAGUUAUGUAUUUCCAUGUUCCUUUUUUAUUUUUGGUAAAACUAUUAGGUUUCCUUUUUAAAUGUUAAUUUUUGGAAAAUUGAUUUAUAACAUGUCUCCAGAAUUUGUGACUGUGAUGCAAACAAUGCUGCUAUGAACACGUGUGUUCAAGUCUUUAUGCGAAAGUGUUUUACAUAGUUUAUGUACAUAGAGAAGAGCUACUACUUCCAGAUGGUACAGUAGUUUAACUGGAUCUGAGGAGCUGCUUUUGUGUCCUGAGCCCCUGUUGACUACCUCUGCCCUGAGGCCCUGUCUCAGCUGAUCCUUGGUUUUUCAAGUAGGUUCUUACUGGUGCGUGAGUGAGUGAGUGAGUGAGUGAGUGAGUGAGUGAGUGAGUGAGUGUGCAUGCGUGUUUUUUUUCAAGACAGGUCUUCUCUGUAUAACACCUCGGGCUGUUCUAGAACUUGCUUUGUAAACCAGGCUGGCCAAGAACUCAGACAUUCUCCUGCCUUUGCCUCCCGAUGCUGGGAUCAAAGGCGUGCGGCCGCCACCCAGCUGACCGAGGUCCUCUUGAUUGGCAGGCAAGCAUUCUGCCAGAGAGACACAUCCCACAGCAUAAUUAAUGUAUACAUUGUGUGUAUACCCGUGUGGACGCAGAGGACAAUAAUUAAUGUAUACAUUGUGUGUAUACCCGUGUGGGGUCAGAGGACAACUUGUGGGAAGUGAUUUUCCUCCGCCACAUGGCCCAGAGAUCAAACACAGGUCGUCAGGCUUUGCAGGUGUGUCACCUACUGAGCCCUGUCACUGGUCACAUCCAUGUGUUACAGGUAGUUUGAAGGCUACGAGUGUAACUUAUAUAAUAGAGCUUGCCUACGGCUUUCUCUCCGCUACUGCGAGAAUGAAAAAGCGACCCUACUGUAGAGAAAGCCAGCAACUGGCUGCUUCAGGUUCCAUGCUGCUGCGUCCACAGAGACCAUAGGUCUUAGGUAGAGGAAAGGCAGCAGCACCUGUGUGACUGUCCCAGUGAGGGGACACUGUUCCUCCUAUGAGCAUGACGUGCAGGCUCUGUGAAGUCAUCCACUUAUUUGCUUGAUUGAGCAGAAGAUUUUAAUUUUUAAAAGCCAUGACGUUAGAUUUAUUCAGUUAUUCAGCCUUUCUUGUGCUUUUUUUUUUUUUUUCUUUCCUUUUGAAAGAAGGGUUAUUAGUUAAAUGGCGGCGGCGGUAACUGUCUUCUGUGUUGCUGGGCCUGCUGUCGUAAGGAGCUAGGUUGUGGAAGGAUCACACACUGUCUUGAUGCCCUGGAAGACAAGGGCCCCUUCUGUAUGCUAUGCCCCUCGUCCUCUUUUCAGACCCCACUUCUGGAGUCGAGCAAAGACACUCAAUUUCGUGCCCGUCAUCUGGGCUCCGUGUGAGACCGUGGUUCCCUGAACUGAGCCUGUCGCUCGCUGGUCCUCAGAAUGCUGGAGGGUUUCUGUGGCCUUCAAGGGCCUUAACACUGAGCUGUAAUCACCAGGGCACCCAGUGCUCACUCUGGCAGGUGGGUGAGCGAGCACCUUGACUAUGAGACUUGGGGUGUUGUGGCUGUAGGAUGGAUUUGUCUUUCUGCAAAUGUCCGCCCCCUGAGCUUAACCAGUGCUCCAAAGAGCAACUGUCCAUCCUUCCAUAUGCAGACGUGCGCCUUGAGCCUGCAGACAAGAUGCUGAGUUAACAUCCAACACUUCAAAUAUGUGCCUUCUAGAGCAACAGCUGAGCAGGGGCGUAAGGCUGUAAGUACAGGGAUGUUUCCUUAGAGGGCCACUGCAUGGGGACCCGCGCUGUAUGUCCCAGGCCAGUCUCAGCGUCACACUGAUGGUUUCAUUAAUAUCAAUACCUCAUCUAUGAUUGCUAAGCCUAAGCCAUUCCCAGGCCUAGAGGUUUUUUGUUUGGGACAGGUUCUUACUAGUCAGCCCCUACUGGCCGGGAUGGAACUUGUAGACCAGGCUGGCCUCCUCAGUGCCUGCCUGCCCCAUGGGACCUUGACUUUUAUUUUGCUGGCAUAGACUGUGAAGACCUACCUGAAUGUCAGGAUACUGCCAGGGAAGAUCGAGACCAGGAUAUUAAUUAUUAGAGCUGAUUAAGAGGUCUGGUCUGAGCACAGCUUUCUAGAUGUUUCUUACGUUUUGUUUUUGGUGUUUAGUUUUGUUUGUUUUUUAAGGGACAAAAAUCUUAGCGUGUUAACCAGCUGGUCUCAAGUGAUCUUCCUUCCUUAAUCUCCAAGUGGCUGGACCCACAGGGUGCCAUUGACCCAGCUACCUUUCUUUGCAAUUAUUUUUGGUAUGUGUGUUAUAUUUCUGUGCACCACAUGCAUGCAGUAGAGACCAGAAGAGGGCAUCAGAUCCCCUGAGCCUGGAGUUAAAUGGUUGUGAGCUGCCAUCUAGGUGCUGGGAUUUGAACCUGGGUCCUCUGGGUGAGUGGUUAGUGCUCUUAACAGCUAAAUGAUCUCCACACCACCACCACCCCAGCUGCAUUUUUAAAAUCCUCAACAAUGAAGUGAGGAUGAGUAUAUUGUAAGUGAGGGGCACGAUAUGGGGCAGGGGAGGGCUGCCCACACCUUUGUGACACUUCUCUUCAUCCUACAGAGUACACAGCUAUGGUGUCCCAUGAAACCCGGGUGUUUGGUGCGCCUCACUGGAGGCUCAGUUACUCUCAGAAGUCAUUGUUCUAGGGUUACUGGACUGUGUGAUAUUUCUCUCUCACUGUAAGUCAUAAUGUGUUAAGACUUUUCAGGAAAAUUACUAGUGUGGAGGCUUUCCUGUUUUUUGUUUUUUUGUAGGUAUUUUAUUUUUUUGUUGUUUGUUUUGGUUUUAAUAUAACUUGACAUCCUCAUUAAGAAUUGCCUUUCCCCUGGUUUAAUUCCUGGUUUUUUUCUCUCGAAUAGACUCUGAAGACAUCCAGUCUGACCUUUAACAAGAAGCUUUAGAUGACGCAAGCAGCUCUCUCUGGGUUCUGUUUUGUUUUGGUGCUGGAAUGAAACCCUGUACACGAAAGGCCGACCCUCUCCUGCUCAGCUCUGUCCCCACACCUCUGCUAAUGUGGAGAGUUAGUGCCACCUGAGUUUCAUGAAUCUUUCUCCCUGGUCUCCUUGGAUUCUGUGUUCUUAUGUUCAACCUACUUAUGCCCACCCAGGUUAUCCACUCCUGUCAGCAGGAACAGGAGGUGGCGGUUGGAGUCUUGCUCUGCUUCUGCCCUUUGGCUACAGGCAAGGUCCUCGGUUGCUGAUAGCGAAGCGUGUUUGAGGAGGCCACUUGAAACCCCUGAGGAGUGAGUGUUUUGCAAAGCACGUGGGGUUUCCAGCAAAGGAAAACAGUGAACUAUUGGCCAUGGUUUCAAAGCAGACCCAUGAACAAACAAAGUGACUGGCCCUGUCCUGCUUUUCACUGGAACAGGCCUCAGAAGGUGAUGGCACAAGCCAGGAGGUAACUACAGAAGAAUGUAGCAUAGCCAGGAGUGAGAAUAGAAAUCACUCCGAGGCUCAGGAGGCUGGGGGCCUGCCACAGCCUCAGCGGUGAGGGCGGCAGGUGAGCAGGGCUGGCUGUGGUCCCUAGGCUUAUAUAUUUAGUAGCUUUGCUCUCUCUGCUGUGUUUGUAAUUUAGUUCUGCUGGAUUAUUUAAACUUAGCCCUCCAGAUUCCAGGUGCUUAGCCGUUGUUCUUUCUCCUCCCCCAUGGUCCAUGUGCGCUGUAAUGCAUAGCGAUCUGAGGGAGUUGGAAUGGAGUCUGAACUGCAGAACAUAUACAGGACGUAUAGUACAGCUCCUUUAUUUUAUUUUUUGGGGGGGGUCAGGGUCUCACUGUGUGUAGCUCUGAGUGUCCUGGAACUCACUCUAUAGACCAGGUCAGCCUAGAACUCAGAGAUCCCCAGGUAUCUGCCUCUAUUGAUUUUAGUUGUUGUCUGUGGUUUUUUUGCUUUGGUUUCUUCUUUUGUUGUUGUUUUUUGUUUGUUUGUUUGUUUGUUUUUUGGGGCGUUGUUUUUGUUUUUGUAGCCCUGGCCAGCUUUGAACUCAUGAUCUUCAUGUGUUGGCCUCUGAAGUACUGGGCUCACAGGACAGGCAUAUGCCAUCACACACAGCCACUGAUGGUUAUAGACGUUUUAUCGCAGAUGAGAGAUGUUUGUCACAUUGGAACAACCCCUCCUGUGUUCUGGGAAUAAAUCCAUGAUUGUAUCCUUGAGCAAUGAAAGGUUUGAAUGGCAUUUUCCUGUCAUCACUGCAUCUGUGGCUGAGUUACCAUCCCGUCCUCUACAGCCUACCUACAUCUCACACAUACACACUCACUCACACACAUACACACACACUCACACAUACUCACACACACACUCACACAUACAUACACACACACAUUCUCACACACACACACUCUCUCACACACACACACACACACACACAGAGUUUUUAUUGCAGUGAACUGGUUUCUUUUUCCCAGUUGUGGUUGUUGGUUGAAGGUUGUCUUCCAUGUGUUAUGGUGGGGCCUAGCUACUAACACUGAGAUCAUGUGACGCCCCUUGGGUUGAGGACAUACCUAGAAGCCAUUUAACCAGUAGUCUUGUUCCUUAUGUGACUCAACUCUUGGGGUUCCUGCAGUCACAGAUGAGGGUCCUGUCACCCCCAUGUUGAAUUAAUCCUUUGCUCAUCUUACAGGAUGUGUUCUGACUCCCCCCAUUUCUGAGGGCUUGUAAGGCCCAAGCUCUCUGAGUACCUCUCAGGCUGGGACUUAGAUGGCCGUACCUAUUCCCUCUGCUGUGAGUAAGUCUGCUUUCCACCCAGUGGGGAGCUGAAGGGAGGCUGGGAGAGAAAGGGGUACCAGCCAGAGGGCUGGGGCGUGGGAGACGGGGAUGGAAAUGCUGGGGUCUGCAGGGACCAGCCUACCUGGCAGUCCACAAACCUCAGUGUGUGUGUGUGUGUGUGUGUGUGUGUGUGUGUGUGUGUGUGUGUGUGGUGUGUUUAUGUGUACAUAUGAGCCUACUAUGUGCUUGUAAAUGUGUACAAGUGAUAUGAGUGUGUCUACUGUUUGUGUAUGUGAUCUGGGUUUUUUGUUUGUUUGUUUUUUGUUUUUUUGAGAUAGAGUAUCUCAGUGUAGCCUUGGCUGUCCUGGAACUCACUCCAGUAUGUGUGUACAUGUGAGUCUACCAUAUGUAAAUGUGUGCAUAUGAGCCUACUACAUGUUUAUACAUGUAAAUGAAUCUACUGUGUGUACAUGUAUGUCUGUGAGCCUAGUAUUUGUUUGUAUAUGUGUUCAUAUGAAUUACUGUGUAUUUGCAUAUGUGUGUGUGUGUGAACCUGUGGUGUGGGUGUGGAUAUAAAGUAGAGCAGACUGCUCAGAUUUCUGGUUAUGAGUUGAGAGGACCCUCUUCUCAGCAUGGCCUGACCCAGGCUUUCUGGGCACGUUACAGCCUCAGACCCUCAGUUUCCCACCUGGACCUUGUGGAGAAUAUGGAUUCCUGAGCCUCUUUAGACUCAAAGAAGGGGAUCCACAGUCCUCCCCAUGACUCAAAGAGGACUGCAGGGUUUAUAGGGUGCUCUGUGCACCUUGCGGCUCUGGGACCUUCGUGACUCUCCUCCUUGGAACCUGGAUGGCAUGCUAGAGCUCAAAAACACCAGAGAGCUGAUGGGGACACUAUUUCCGGACGGACUUACAUUUCCAAGCCAAGGCAGUGCCCUGGAAGACUCCUGCUGUGACCACAAGCUCAGAGAAUGGGAGGCAGGUGGACGCACUCAUCUGUGUGACAUAGGUAGCCAGGACCCAGCAGGUUUGGAGAACCCGUUCGCUCACUGCACUUGAGUUAGCCCAAGUGUUGAAAGCUCCCUUAGUUCUGAGACCUGUUUAAUUGUGAGUUAUUGGCAUAAAGUUGGAAGCUGUGGGAAAAGUAUAAAAUGAGAAUAGCAACCCUCUUCCCCUCUCCUACCUCCCCACCACACAGAGGCAGCCCUCCGGUGGCUUAGGGAGUGUCUACACACACAGAGCUUACUGCACCAGACCCUGUCUCAGAGCAAUUAGGCUGUGACUUGUGGUUCAUUUUUUGGAGUCUGAUUUCAUGCAUGCACUUCUCAUGUAGGGUGGGGAACACUCACUUGGAGGCAGGGGGACAUGAGUCCCCUGGAGCCUUUGGCAGGGCAUCAGGACCGGCAGGAGUGAGCCUGGGAGGGGCACGGAGCCGCCGCAGGUGUUUCUUUUCCUGACCGCGGCUCAUGGCCGCGCUCAGGUUUUGCUUUUCACCUUUGUCUGAGAGAACGAACGUGAGCAGGAAAAAGCAAAA
ensembl:lincRNA Neat1 nuclear paraspeckle assembly transcript 1 (non-protein coding)